UCGAGAUCUCUGACAACAGAGAAACGAUGUCUUCGACUUUCUAAAAAGUCACCCCUCUGGCGCCCCAAGCAAUACGGGGAGUUGACCGUUGCGGGAAAAACCCCCCUUGUUCUCGAACAAAGAGGAAGGUCAAGUUGACCGUUGGAAAGGACGCUACCACGACCCACGCCAACCAAGGAAAAAAUGCUUCCUCAAGACCUAAUAAAUAGGACUAGAUUUAGCUUGCCCCUUCAGUCUUCUCUUCUCUCUCUCGCCAGUUGUGCCGAUCUGUUCCGACCUGUGCCAGCCUAAAUACAAUGCGGGGCUAGGGUAAAUACCUAACGUAAAAGGAAACAGCAUCAUCCGACAAACGAGGAAAAAACUCGUCGGUCAAGGUUGCAAAAUUGAAAACAAAAAUCACCCAACCAAUUAUAAUUGUUUAAUUUUGAGGACGAAAAUUGAACGAAAACCUCAAGCGAACGAGACAAAGUCUAAACCUAAACCGAAGCUGAAGGUACAUUGCAUUGAUUGAUUAACACAUAACAGUGUACAAACAUAACCCGCAAGAAAGAAGUUCCUCGUGCCCGUAUUCGUUGCGUGCCACACAUCGUCCGUGUUGAUCAGCCGGUAUAUUUGCGAACGCGGACAAUGAUAAGACUCAAACAAACUAGGCCGAAUAUCCAGCAGAGGCUGGUGACGACGCCCAUGUAGACUUUGGGAUGUCCAAUGCCCCAACCGCGCCCCAAAAUAUUUCUCAGCGCUUGCAUGGCGUACGUUUGCGGCAUCAAAUGGGCCAGGUGACGCACGUAAGUGGGCAUAGCCUCCGUUGGCCAUAACAUGCCGCUCAUAAUGAUGUUCGUGUAAUUUGUGCCCAGUGUGAUCUGAAUAGCGCUGGUCUCUUCGUCACACAAGGCCGAAACGAGAAGACCUGCGCGCAUGUUAAAAUCAAUUGAAAAAAUUGAAUAAUGUGCAAGAUGAUGGCUAUUAGCGUUUACCAAACGACAUGCCACACAAUCCUUGAAGAAGGGUGAUGAAAAUCACGAGAGCAAGGUUGCCGUGACAAGCCGUGUUAAAGACGAUGAGCGCGAACAGGUAAACGAAAAACGUCUGGCCAAGCAGAAGGAUCAACUGGUUAACGAGUCCGGAUUUUCGUUCAGUCAGGAAGACAGCAGACGUCAGAGCAACGGAAAGAAAAUAGAUAAUCCUUUGCAAACAAAGAGCGUGAUGAAUGUCAAGGAACUUGCUAUGAAAGUUGAUUUGCUAAAUGAAUAUUUGAUUUUCUAAGCCGUAGAUCGCUUACCCCAGGAUAACACCGGGCGUUACGUAUUCGGUGAACGAUGGCUUUCUUUCUCCGUAGAUGGGAUCCAAAAACUGGACGCAUCGAUGUCAACAUAAAAGAAAAAUGUUAACGCACGCUUAUGAAUAUUUACACCUUAUUAUUAUUAAAUUUUUUAAAAAGUUCAAUACAUACCGUAACAGGGAUGCUUUGGGCCAUGGGCUGAUAAGAACAUGCUGCCAAGAUGUCCUUACUGAAA